CCUGUCCCAGUUCGGACUGGAGUCUGCAACCCGACUCCACGAAGUUGGAUUCGCUAGUAAUCGCGCAUCAGCCAUGGCGCGGUGAAUACGUUCCCGGGCCUUGUACACACCGCCCGUCAAGCCAUGGGAGCCGGGGGCGCCUGAAGUCCGGGACCGCGAGGACCGGCCUAGGGCGAAACUGGUAACUGGGGCUAAGUCGUAACAAGGUAGC
rnacentral:rRNA from 1 species